rnacentral:rRNA from 1 species
ACUCCUACGGGAGGCAGCAGUGGGGAAUAUUGCACAAUGGGCGCAAGCCUGAUGCAGCAACGCCGCGUGAGGGACGACGGCCUUCGGGUUGUAAACCUCUUUUGGCAGGGAAGAAGCGAAAGUGACGGUACCUGCAGAAAAAGCACCGGCUAACUACGUGCCAGCAGCCGCGGUAAUACGUAGGGUGCAAGCGUUGUCCGGAAUUAUUGGGCGUAAAGAGCUCGUAGGCGGUUUGUCGCGUCUGCUGUGAAAACGCGAGGCUCAACCUCGCGCCUGCAGUGGGUACGGGCAGACUAGAGUGUGGUAGGGGAGAUUGGAAUUCCUGGUGUAGCGGUGGAAUGCGCAGAUAUCAGGAGGAACACCGAUGGCGAAGGCAGAUCUCUGGGCCAUUACUGACGCUGAGGAGCGAAAGCGUGGGGAGCGAACAGGAUUAGAUACCCUGGUAGUCCACGCCGUAAACGUUGGGAACUAGAUGUGGGGUCCAUUCCACGGAUUCCGUGUCGCAGCUAACGCAUUAAGUUCCCCGCCUGGGGAGUACGGCCGCAAGGCUAAAACUCAAAGGAAUUGACGGGGGCCCGCACAAGCGGCGGAGCAUGCGGAUUAAUUCGAUGCAACGCGAAGAACCUUACCAAGGCUUGACAUGCACCUGAAAAGGCUGGAAACAGUCUCCUCGCAAGACAGGUGCACAGGUGGUGCAUGGUUGUCGUCAGCUCGUGUCGUGAGAUGUUGGGUUAAGUCCCGCAACGAGCGCAACCCUCGUUCUAUGUUGCCAGCGCGUUAUGGCGGGAACUCAUAGGAGACUGCCGGGGUCAACUCGGA